rnacentral:rRNA from 1 species
AGAGUUUGAUCAUGGCUCAGAACGUACGCUGGCGGCACGCCUAACACAUGCAAGUCGAACGAAGUAGCAAUACUUAGUGGCAGACGGGUGAGUAACAUGUAGGUAUCUGCCCUUUGGCCUGGAAUAACACGAGGAAACUUGUGCUAAUACCGGAUAAGUCUUUACGGAGAAAGCUUUAUGCACCAUUGGAUGAGCCUGCACUUGAUUAGUUUGUUGGUGGGGUAAUGGCCUACCAAGACUGUGAUCAAUAGCUGAUUUGAGAGGAUGAUCAGCCACAUUGGGACUGAGACACGGCCCAAACUCCUACGGGAGGCAGCAGUGGGGAAUCUUGCACAAUGGAGGAAACUCUGAUGCAGCGAUGCCGCGUGAGUGAAGAAGGCCCUUGGGUUGUAAAGCUCCUUCGUCGGGGAAGAAAAUGACUGUACCCGAAUAAGAAGGUCCGGCUAACUUCGUGCCAGCAGCCGCGGUAAUACGAAGGGACCUAGCGUAGUUCGGAAUUACUGGGCUUAAAGAGUUCGUAGGUGGUUGAAAAAGUUGGUGGUGAAAUCCCAGAGCUUAACUCUGGAACUGCCAUCAAAACUUUUCAGCUAGAGUAUGAUAGAGGAAAGCAGAAUUUCUAGUGUAGAGGUGAAAUUCGUAGAUAUUAGAAAGAAUACCAAUUGCGAAGGCAGCUUUCUGGAUCAUUACUGACACUGAGGAACGAAAGCAUAGGUAGCGAAGAGGAUUAGAUACCCUCGUAGUCCAUGCCGUAAACGAUGUGUGUUAGACGUUGGAAAUUUAUUUUCAGUGUCGCAGCGAAAGCGAUAAACACACCGCCUGGGGAGUACGACCGCAAGGUUAAAACUCAAAUGAAUUGACGGGGACCCGCACAAGUAGUGGAGCAUGUGGUUUAAUUCGAAGAUACGCGCAGAACCUUACCAACACUUGACAUGUUCGUCGCGACUUUAAGAGAUUAAAGUUUUCGGUUCGGCCGGACGAAACACAGGUGCUGCAUGGCUGUCGUCAGCUCGUGUCGUGAGAUGUUGGGUUAAGUCCCGCAACGAGCGCAACCCUCACUUUUAGUUGCCAUCAUUAAGUUGGGCACUCUGAAAGAACUGCCAGUGAUAAGCUGGAGGAAGGUGGGGAUGACGUCAAGUCCUCAUGGCCCUUACGUGUUGGGCUACACACGUGCUACAAUGGUAUCUACAACAGGAAGCAAAACCGCGAGGUUAAGCAAAUCCUUAAAAGAUACCUCAGUUCGGAUUGCACUCUGCAACUCGAGUGCAUGAAGCUGGAAUUACUAGUAAUCGUGGAUCAGCGUGCCACGGUGAAUGCGUUCCCGGGUCUUGUAGA